UUGUUCCCUUUGGCAGCAAAUAUACUAAAAUUGGAACAAUACAGAGAACAUUAGCAUGGCCCUGCGUAAGGAUGACAUGCAGAUUUGUGAAGCGUUCCAUAUUUUU